CAGUCUCCUCCAGCCUGGUGUCAGUAUCCCAUUGGUUCUCGACAGAGUUCUUUGUCUUUGGAGCCCAUCCAGAAGGGGAGGGGCUGCGUGUGUGUAGAGCCUGCAGCAAAUCAAUAAAAGUUCACGCCAUGGACGAAGCAGCUGUGACGAGCCAUGCUGCUGGAGCAUCACACAGGACGGCACAAGUUAAAAGCAGCUCACACUCUAUUGAACUAUGUGGAAAAGUCAUCGUCAUCUACAUCACCACCUAGACAAUCUUCUACAACUGCUACCACAUUCACCAUCUCCUCAAGACUUCAUUACUGGCGUACCCAAAGAGGACACAUUGCGCGCUGAGACACUGUGGUGUCUGAAUAUUAUGGAGUCUGAGUGGCAUGGUUUAUAAGCUGUCACCUGUAACAUGAAAUUAUUUUUAGGAACAUGUUAUGUUUGUUUUCAUAGUUCACAUUCUCUCUGUGACACACACAGACACACAUGUUCACACACAUGCUAGAAACAGAAUUAAGUCUUUGAUUUCAAUCUUCUUCUUUUUAACUCGUGGGUGUGCUGUUCUCAUCGAUGUUCCCAAACAGUGCAAUAGCCAAGACCUUCACAUGCUGCACAACAAUUCCAGCUGUGUACACACGUGGCUUGGCUCCUAAUUUCAAGCACUUGUUGUCUAAAAAACUGUCUGCUGGGUAGGAGGACUAUGUACUUCUCUUUGAUGAGAGCCUUAACAGAAAAUCACUUUAUGGGACAUGCAACUGUGUUGGACCUUAAAGCGGUCUAUGAGAAGAGCACCGAAGAUCUACCAAAGAAAAACAUGGUUCAGAUCUCCAUAGAUGGACCAAAUGUAAAUUGGUCAUUUUACUCAAAGGUAGAGAAGUCCCUCCUAGAUUUUGAUGUACACCUUAUAAACAUUGGCAGGUGCGGUCUCCAUAUUGUACAUGGUGCAUGUCAGAAGGGAGUGGAAGAAACAGAGUGGAAAGUUGAUAGUAUACUGCAUGCUAUGUACCAACUUCUGAAGGAUACUCCAGACGACAGGGAGGACUACUUUAACAUCAUUGGAUCAUCAGAUCCCCACUGCCAUUUAAGUUUUGCAAGACACGGUGGGUUGAAAAUGCGCCGGUGCUUGAAAGAGCUUUAGAGUUUUUACCCCAUAUGGCAACAAAUGUGAACGCUGUAGAGAAGAGAUGUCCAAAUACAGGCACAAAGUCAUUUGAGGUGAUUCAAGAGGCUGUUAAGGACCCUCUCAAGACAGCAAAACUGAAUUGAAUCUUGUCAACAAGCAAAGACGUGACACCAUUCCUCACACGCUACCAGACCGAUAAGGCCAUGGUGCCAUUUCUCUCUACAGACUUGUUCAAGCUGCUUAAGAGCUUGAUGAGCAGAUUCAUUAAGCCAGCCCUCAGGAAAGAAGCGAAGACCGCUCAAAAACGUCUUGAUGUCGAGGUGAGCCAGUCAUCCAAUCACAUCGACUCCUCACAGGCCGACUUGGGCUUUGUUACUCGAAGAAUUGUGACAGAGUUGUCCGCAGGGAAGAAAAUUGGACAGAAAACAUUGAUGGACUUCAAAAUCGCUUGCAAGAAGUGUAUGCUCAAAACUGUUAACCAACGUAUUGAGAUCUCCAUUGAAGUACUCUCUGGUCUCGCAUCUUUCUUUCUUGGAUCCAAGGGAAAUGGCAGACACAAAUGGAAAGAUGCUGUGAACAGCAAAAUUGAAAAAGGCCCUGACCUACCUUGUAAAUAUACAUUGGGUGAAGGAAGAAGAUUGUGAUGACAUCAUUCAUCAAUACUCACAUUUUAUUGAUGACAUUGUCCAGGCCCAACACUCAGAGUUUGCCAACUUUGAUCCUGUCCAAGACAGCAUGAACACAUUUUUACAUGAGUACAUGUCAAAUGACAAAGAGCUCAGAAAUCUAUGGAGACUUUGCCGCCAACUCCUCUUACUGUCACACGGACAAGCCUUAGUAGAGCGUAGAUUCUCCAUCAAUCGGCAGAUUGAAGUUGAGAACUUGAAGGAAGAUUCGUAUGUAGCACAGAGAUACUGUAUGUAGUUGACCACAUAAGAGCUGUGGGUGGCAUACAUGUGUGCAUUGACAGACCGCUGCUGAUGUCAGUGGCAGCUGCAAGGCAGAGAUAUGUGACACAUCAAGAAGAACAGAGACAGAGAAGAAUGGAUGAGCAAAAAAACAUAGAGAAAAUACCUUUUAGAUGAAAUAGAUGAACUGAAAGUGAAGACAAGAAGACUGACAGAUGACAUAAAUGCUCUCUAGACCUCAGCAGACAAAUUUGCACUCAAAGCGGAGAGCACAGGCAACCUCAGUCUUAUUGCCAAGUCCAAUAGCCUGAGAAAGGGUGCUAAAGAUUAAAGAGCACAAAUAGUUGAAAUAGCAACACUACUCAAUGAAAAAGUGAAUGAGCAAAUGAAGGGGCAUAGCAGCAAAAAAAGGGUUGGCCACUGUUUUAACAGUUUGAGAAAGGGCAAAACACUAUUCAAUGAGUAAGUGAUAAAAAAAUAAGUAAAUUAAUCAAAACGCCAACAACCCCAGAACACAUUGGUUGUGGAAAUGUUUAAUUUAUUUUGAUCCAAUUCAUUUUCAUCUAAACUUUUAAUUUAUGGUCAUGUGUUUUUGUUUAUUUAUCUUCUAUUUCGGUCAUGGUCAUGUUCAUGAAAAAAGACCAUGUUUUUGCUCUGCGACAUGUUUUGUGUUGUUAAGCUGGUGCUAAUGAAAUAAACAAAGAAUUACUUAGCUC
ensembl:lncRNA